rnacentral:rRNA from 1 species
UACAGAGACCUCAAGCGUUAUCCGGAUUUACUGGGCGUAAAGCGUCCGCAGGUGGUUUUGUAAGUUUUUGGUCAAAUGCCACGGCUCAACCGGGGACUCGCCAAAAAGACUGCAAGACUAGAGAGUGGGAGAGGCAAGCGGAACUGCCGGUGUAGCGGUAAAAUGCGUUAAUAUCGGCAGGAACACCAAAGGCGAAGGCAGCUUGCUGGAACACUUCUGACACUCAUGGACGAAAGCGUGGGGAGCGAAA